rnacentral:rRNA from 1 species
GACGAACGCUGGCGGCGUGCUUAACACAUGCAAGUCGAACGGAAAGGCCCUGCUUUUGUGGGGUGCUCGAGUGGCGAACGGGUGAGUAACACGUGAGUAACCUGCCCUUGACUUUGGGAUAACUUCAGGAAACUGGGGCUAAUACCGGAUAGGAGCUCCUGCUGCAUGGUGGGGGUUGGAAAGUUUCGGCGGUUGGGGAUGGACUCGCGGCUUAUCAGCUUGUUGGUGGGGUAGUGGCUUACCAAGGCUUUGACGGGUAGCCGGCCUGAGAGGGUGACCGGCCACAUUGGGACUGAGAUACGGCCCAGACUCCUACGGGAGGCAGCAGUGGGGAAUAUUGCACAAUGGGCGGAAGCCUGAUGCAGCAACGCCGCGUGCGGGAUGACGGCCUUCGGGUUGUAAACCGCUUUCGCCUGUGACGAAGCGUGAGUGACGGUAAUGGGUAAAGAAGCACCGGCUAACUACGUGCCAGCAGCCGCGGUGAUACGUAGGGUGCGAGCGUUGUCCGGAUUUAUUGGGCGUAAAGGGCUCGUAGGUGGUUGAUCGCGUCGGAAGUGUAAUCUUGGGGCUUAACCCUGAGCGUGCUUUCGAUACGGGUUGACUUGAGGAAGGUAGGGGAGAAUGGAAUUCCUGGUGGAGCGGUGGAAUGCGCAGAUAUCAGGAGGAGCACCAGUGGCGAAGGCGGUUCUCUGGGCCUUUCCUGACGCUGAGGAGCGAAAGCGUGGGGAGCGAACAGGCUUAGAUACCCUGGUAGUCCACGCUGUAAACGGUGGGUACUAGGUGUGGGGUCCAUUCCACGGGCUCCGUGCCGUAGCUAACGCUUUAAGUACCCCGCCUGGGGAGUACGGCCGCAAGGCUAAAACUCAAAGGAAUUGACGGGGCCCCGCACAAGCGGCGGAGCAUGCGGAUUAAUUCGAUGCAACGCGUAGAACCUUACCUGGGUUUGACAUGGAUCGGGAGUGCUCAGAGAUGGGUGUGCCUCUUUUGGGGUCGGUUCACAGGUGGUGCAUGGCUGUCGUCAGCUCGUGUCGUGAGAUGUUGGGUUAAGUCCCGCAACGAGCGCAACCCUUGUUCACUGUUGCCAGCACGUUAUGGUGGGGACUCAGUGGAGACCGCCGGGGUCAACUCGGAGGAAGGUGGGGAUGACGUCAAGUCAUCAUGCCCCUUAUGUCCAGGGCUUCACGCAUGCUACAAUGGCUGGUACAGAGAGUGGCGAGCCUGUGAGGGUGAGCGAAUCUCGGAAAGUCGGUCUCAGUUCGGAUUGGGGUCUGCAACUCGACCUCAUGAAGUCGGAGUCGCUAGUAAUCGCAGAUCAGCAACGCUGCGGUGAAUACGUUCCCGGGGCU